rnacentral:lncRNA from 1 species
CCAAGCCUGUCCUGGAAACCCAGUAACUGUCCGGGAACCAUUCCCCUUGGCUGAAUCGUGUUGGAACACAGUGUUACCCCGCAUAGCUCUGCCCUGGGUACUCCUGGUGAUUCCACCCUGCCCACUGCAGGUGAAAGGAUUACUUGUUGGUUUUCGACAAAUGAAACCAACUAAAAUGUCCUACGCUCAGAAAUGAAGCUUAGAAUCUUUUGAAGGUGACCGUCUGGUCACAACUACCCAGCUGCAGAGCACGCACCACGCCUCUGCCGCCCAGCACCUGAACAAGGGGCAGGCGCCAAUUAAAAGGAAGCAAGCAGGUAGUGCGCAGGGAGGGAGUCGGGUCAAAGCCACUGACCACGAUGCUUCUGCCACUCAUCCGAGAGGGCUGACCAGGACUGUAUCUACCUGAACGCCAGGAGCAAGAGACCACUAUGAUGCAAUCCGCAUUAACCGGAAGGCGGACCAAGGUAGAGGGCAGAGGCUCAACACCGAGGCAAAUAAAGAUACUCAGCGUUGCCCACUCAUUCUGUUACUAAGCCCUGUUCUCAUCUGUCAUCCACUCAAAGAUAUUCAUCUGAUCCUGAUUCUUAUGCUUGUGAAUUAUCCAAUGAAUUAUUCUUGUAGGAAAUUAAUGAAAGUAUGGUGGUUAGCUCUUUACUGGCGUUCUGCAUUUCUUCAUUGACCUGUUGGACAAGUGGAAUAUUAAUAAAUCACCAGAUCCUCUC